AAGACCGAUUCCCCCCUCUGAUUCCAGCCCACCUUAAAUGCUGGACUCAUGGUAUGCCACUCCUUGCCAUUUUAUCACGGUUCAUCAAUUGGCUAGCCAACGCCUUAUAAUGAUGAGUAUAUAAUCUUGCCUUUUGAAACAUUGCACAUUAACUCGUCUUGCGGUUCCGAUCGAAUCUCCUAAAGGCCGAUCUAGCUGUUCUGGAAUAUAGCCAGGAUGCGUUUCGAUGAUAUUCUUGGUGAGCUGGGCUCGUUCGGUCCCUAUCAGAGACGCGUUUAUCUGGUCGUAUGUUUGAUGGCAGCUUCCACCGCAUUUCACUCCAUGACACAGGUUUUUAUAGCUGGGACUACAGAUCAUUGGUGUAAGACAGAUUAUUGGGACGCAAACUGCAGCGAGUGGAACUUGUCACCCACGGAUUGCAAGGAGGCGAAGAAGAACGGCAGCAUCCCAGUCAGUUAC